rnacentral:rRNA from 1 species
GUAGGGAGCAAGCGUUAUCCGGAUUUAUUGGGUGUAAAGGGUGCGUAGACGGGAAUUUAAGUUAGUUGUGAAAUCCCUCGGCUUAACUGAUGAACUGCAACUAAAACUGAAUUUCUUGAGUGCGGGAGAGGAAAGUGGAAUUCCUAGUGUAGCGGUGAAAUGCGUAGAUAUUAGGAGGAACACCAGUGGCGAAGGCGACUUUCUGGAGCGUAACUGACGUUGAGGCACGAAAGUGUGGGGAGCAAA